AAACGGCAUAUCAUUGGAACACAAUUGGGAGGGAGCCUACAAUGCAUCAGAGCAAUAUGUUUAGUUAACACCACCUACAGUAUAUGCUAAAAUUGAAUAAUACGUUCUUCAUAUGAUAAUUUCGUCUGAUGUAUUCAUACAUUACAUAAAUUUAACGCAUAUUACGGUAACAUCAUAACCAGCAGAUGCCAUCCUUGUAGUCAUAACGCAUAUUAUGUCAUAAACUGCAGGAUUGAAAGGGGUAUUGAACAAAAUGUGGACUAAGCAGGCAGCAGCAUGUGACGGCUUACAUAACAAUUGACAGAACAUGCAGCUGCCUUCAGUAUCUUGGCUUCCCUCCUCUUCCACGGCCACGCCCACCUCCUUUUCCACCACGUGCCAAGUCUCUGUUUGCCUCGUGUUUUACUUGCAUGUUCUCUGGGAGAGGACUAAUGUGAUCAAUACAUUUCCUGAAGCUAAAAUCAUCCACAGAGUCAUCCUCCCUAAUGAUAAAGAAGCAACGACUUUUAUAUUGAGGAUGAAACCGGAUUUGGAAUGCACGGACUCCUGUACCAAUCUUUCUAUCUGGCUCUAAAUGACCCUUCUUUAGCAAGUCAAGCAAAACAAUGUACUCAUACUUGUUGAGGUUGAGGUUGGGAGACCAAGAAUGGAGAAGCUUAUAAAAGUAAUUGAACACCUCCACAGACGAUCCGAAGUUCUUAGGGCCCACGCUAAUCGGACCUGACACAUCUUUCUUUUCUUCAUCCACCGUUUUGCUUCCAUCUAAAUUCUCGAAUCGUUCUUCUUCCACAGACUUAUCGACCUUCAGCUUCUUUGUGGCGUCUUCCUUCUCCACCUCGUUUUCCUCCUCCCUUGGACGCUUCGACCCGCCGUUCUCUUCCGUAUCAUCGGCGGCUUGAGCUUCGACAUCCAUGUCCUGAGCCGAAGUGUCCUCUUUCUCGGCCUCUACCACGGCUUCAACGGCGGGCACGGCGGCGGCGACUUCAGGUUCAGUUUCUGCCAUGGCUAUGCUGCGUAAGUUCAGGGAGCAAGUAAAGCGGUUAGAAUUGGGGUAAAAGGAACGCUAGGG
rnacentral:misc_RNA from 1 species